AUCUUCGGGGCGGGGUGAAAGUCCCCACCGGCGGUAGAGUCCGCGAGCUGAAUAGCAUGAGCCGGUGUGAUUCCGGCACCGACAGUUACAGUCUGGAUGAUAGAAGAU
rnacentral:ncRNA from 1 species